GUGCGAUUCUUAUGAUGUAUCGGUGAUACGUUCUGAUUCUUCCAAUUUACCGAGGUGGAGGGACACUCAAGGCCCAGUAAAAUCUGGUGUACCCCGUGCUGGUCCUAUUAACCCUAUGCAUCCUCGAGGUGAAGAUGGAUGUUCUGUUUGUGAUGAGUCACCUGAUCCAAUUGUGGAAAAUUUGUCUGUUAUUAAAAAACCUGUUGUGAGGGUAUUCAUUUAGUCUUCA